rnacentral:rRNA from 1 species
UACGUAGGCAGCAAGCGUUGUUCGGAAUUAUUGGGCGUAAAGGGCGCGUAGGCGGCCUGGCAAGUGGAAGGUGAAAUCCCUCGGCUUAACCGAGGAACUGCCCUCCAAACUGCUUGGCUUGAGUCCGGGAGAGGUGAGUGGAAUUCCCAGUGUAGCGGUGAAAUGCGUAGAUAUUGGGAGGAACACCAGUGGCGAAGGCGGCUCACUGGACCGGAACUGACGCUGAGGUGCGAAAGCGUGGGGAGCAAACGGG